AUUGAACGCUGGCGGCAGGCUCAACACAUGCAAGUCGAGCGGGGGAAGGUAGCUUGCUACCGGACCUAGCGGCGGACGGGUGAGUAAUGCUUAGGAAUCUGCCUAUUAGUGGGGGACAACAUCUCGAAAGGGAUGCUAAUACCGCAUACGUCCUUCGGGAGAAAGCAGGGGAUCUUCGGACCUUGCUCUAAUAGAUGAGCCUAAAUCGGAUUAGCUAGUUGGUGGGGUAAAGGCCUACCAAGGCGACGAUCUGUAGCGGGUCUGAGAGGAUGAUCCGCCACACUGGGACUGAGACACGGCCCAGACUCCUACGGGAGGCAGCAGUGGGGAAUAUUGGACAAUGGGGGGAACCCUGAUCCAGCCAUGCCGCGUGUGUGAAGAAGGCCUUAUGGUUGUAAAGCACUUUAAGCGAGGAGGAGGCUACUCUAGUUAAUACCUAGGGAUAGUGGACGUUACUCGCAGAAUAAGCACCGGCUAACUCUGUGCCAGCCGCCGCCGUAA
rnacentral:rRNA from 1 species